rnacentral:lncRNA from 1 species
AUAUAUAGAUAUAGGAAGAUGUGGUGUGAGUGCCAAUGAGACAACUCUCUAUCCAAAUAACAAUUUAUAAAAGUAAACCAUUCUAGGUCAAUGUACGGCCUUCAACACGGAGCCUUGGCUCACACCGAACAACAAGCUAUAAAGGGCCCCAAAAUUACUAGUGUAAAACCAUCCAAACGGGAAAACCAACGGCCUAAUCUAUAUAAAAAA